GGAGAGGCCACGCCCACUCUGCGUCCUGAGUGCCGGCUCUUCCAGGAUGCGCGAGCUCUGCAGCACCUGAGGUCGCUCGCUGGUCUCUCCUGUCCCAUUCAGGUCUGAUCUCGGAGGGUUAAGCACCCAGAUGUCACAGGGCGAGGGGAACACUCCCCCCACCACCAUCACCCUGGAGCGUAAGUGAGCAGGAUCAGCUUUGCCAAGGAGGCAGGAAGGUGUAAGGGCUCUGAGUUCUGCAGUCAGACCUCUACUUCACACAGGUCACGUCCUUUGCCAGAAGUGGGAUGGUGGACUGGUUCAGAAUGCCUAACUCUGAAGCCCGUUUACUCUAAAAACCAGGUGGCUUAUGGAUGGCAAUGAAGCUCGAGAUCCAAUAAACGUUCAUUUUUCAAGCCUAUACAUACAUAC